rnacentral:rRNA from 1 species
GUGUAUAAGAGCGAAAACAUGUUCUCUGUUGUGACGGUGUCCCCGAGUAGCAGCGGGCCCGUGGAAUCUGCUGUGAAUCUGCCGGGACCACCCGGUAAGCCUGAAUACUUCUCAGUGACCGAUAGCGGAUUAGUACCGUGAGGGAAUGGUGAAAAGUACCCCGGGAGGGGAGUGAAAUAGUACCUGAAACCGUGCGCUUACAAUCCGUCAGAGCCCUCCUUCGUGGUGGGGUGAUGGCGUGCCUUUUGAAGAAUGAGCCUGCGAGUCAGGGACAUGUCGCGAGGUUAACCCGUGUGGGGUAGCCGUAGCGAAAGCGAGUCUGAAUAGGGCGUAUCCGAUCCGUAGGGGUUGGUGUAGUGGUGUGUUCUGGACCCGAAGCGGAGUGAUCUACCCAUGGCCAGGGUGAAGCAGCAGUAAGAUGUUGUGGAGGCCCGAACCCACUUAGGUUGAAGACUGAGGGGAUGAGCUGUGGGUAGGGGUGAAAGGCCAAUCAAACUCCGUGAUAGCUGGUUCUCCCCGAAAUGCAUUUAGGUGCAGCGUCGCAGUGUUCGUGUCGGAGGUAGAGCUACUGGAUGGCCGAUGGGCCUCACAAGGUUACUGACGUCAGCCAAACUCCGAAUGCCGACACGGUGUAAUGCGGCAGUGAGACGGCGGGGGAUAAGCUCCGUGCGUCGAGAGGGAAACAGCCCAGAUCGCCGGCUAAGGCCCCUAAGCGUGUGCUAAGUGGAAAAGGAUGUGCAGUCGCAGAGACAACCAGGAGGUUGGCUUAGAAGCAGCCACCCUUGAAAGAGUGCGUAAUAGCUCACUGGUCAAGUGAUCCUGCGCCGACAAUGUAGCGGGGCUCAAGUACACCACCGAAGCUGCGGCAUUCAUACGAUAGCCCGCUGUGUUCCUACGGGGAUGCAGCCAGGUGUGUGGAUGGGUAGGGGAGCGUCGUGCAGCCGUGGAAGCAUCGGAGUGAUCCAGGUGUGGAGGCUGUGCGAGUGAGAAUGCAGGCAUGAGUAGCGAAAGACGAGUGAGAAACUCGUCCGCCGAAUGACCAAGGGUUCCUGGGCCAGGUUAAUCCGCCCAGGGUGAGUCGGGACCUAAGACGAGGCCGACAGGCGUAGCCGAUGGACAACGGGUUGAUAUUCCCGUACCCGUGUGAUCGCGCCCAUGGUGAAUCAGUGAUACUAACCGCCCUGAAUCUGCGUGACUGAUCUCUUUCGAGAGUGAGGCGUGUGGUGGAUGCGUGGGACCUGAUCUGGUAGUAGCCAAGCGAUGGGGUGACGCAGGAAGGUAGCUGGGCCAGUGAGUGGUUGUACUGGUGUAAGCCUGUAGGGCGAACGGUAGGCAAAUCCGCCGUUCACUUGAAGCCUGAGAGGUGAUGCGUAGCCGAUUGAGGCGAAUUCAGUGAUCCUAUGCUGCCGAGAAAAGCCUCUAGCGAGCUGUCACACGGCCCGUACCCCAAACCGACACAGGUGGUCAGGUAGAGAAUACCAAGGCGUACGAGUGAACUAUGGUUAAGGAACUCGGCAAAAUGCCCCCGUAACUUCGGGAGAAGGGGGACCCCCGUACCGUCAACACCCUUGCGGUGGGCAGCGGUGGGGGGUGGCACAAACCAGUGAGAAGCGACUGUUUACUAAAAACACAGGUCCGUGCGAAGUCGCAAGACGAUGUAUACGGACUGACGCCUGCCCGGUGCUGGAAGGUUAAGAGGACCCGUUAACCCCUCGGGGUGAAGCGGAGAAUUUAAGCCCCAGUAAACGGCGGUGGUAACUAUAACCAUCCUAAGGUAGCGAAAUUCCUUGUCGGGUAAGUUCCGA